GGCCAGGUUAUUUUAUCCCAGCACCAGAGAUGGCAGAGAUAACCGGGGCCCAGCUGUGGUGCAAUAUAGCAAAGUACACCCAACAGAAUUAGAAUGGCAGCUCCAAGGGUCUUGUCAAGUUCUUUCCACACCAAAGCAGCAAUUUACUAGCCAGUUAAUAAAACAGCAUUCUUGCCGGGAAUAAAGCAGGCAACUGGCCCAGCUUUCCCCGUUUCCAAGGGCCUAUAGCACAUGGGCCAAGCCACUUCUCUGGUUGAGUAGAGCACUCUGGUCUUGAGGACUCAUGGCUUGAUAAGUAGACAGUUCUAAGGCAAAAGUAGCUGAGCCAGAUGUCAGAGUUCGAAGCACAGUUGAAUAUCCCUAAUGAAAAAAAGUUCAGUUUGUUACUGCACUUAAUUUACGCCUUACAUUUUUUAUCUUGGGGAUUAUCUUAGACCACAGAAGAGAAGGUGGUGGUGAGUCCCACCGCCUCCAGGGAGAGGUUUUCAAAAAGAAAGAAAAGGGAAAUACUAUGGCAAAAACUUCGCAUAGGUGAGCUGUGCAUGCAUUCUGAGGUAAGUGACUCUGUCCUUCCCCUUUGUCAGUCAGUACCCUCAUGUCUAUCCGAGGGGCAGAAGUGCCUGGGUGGGGAAGAGAAGGAUGCUGGCCCCAAAAUUUAUAAGAAAAUACAUGGAAGCAGGGGUUAGACAGUUAACAGCCUGACCACAUUUGAGACACUGUGCCUUAAUCUUUGUGGCUCUGUGAUUGGAAGUAACGUGUUCCCAAGUUCUCAGCCACCACUGAAGGCAAAGUUUCAUGGUGGCUGAAACCUUGGCAUGCAUUCUCUAAACCCAAGCCCAAUGCCCACAGUGUCACUCGCACUGUCGGGGUCAUCUCCUAGAGUAAACAACGUGUACAUGUCAAAUGCAAACUCACCAUAAUCUCUGCUAGAGGAACGAAUCCUAGAACAACUCUGUUGUCUUGGCGAGUCUGGAUUUCCUGAAUGUUCCCUCUUCUUUGUGCCAAGUCUGCCAGGACAGGGCUGAGGUACUCCCUGCUCACUGUGACCUCGAGACUCAUCAGAGGUUCCAGCACCUGUUUGUCAGCUUUCUUCAGGGCCUGAAGAGAUUUCAUAAACUGAACAAAUUUCUAUUCCAGUACACGGAAGACAGAGGAAGGCUAAUUCCUAUAUUCCUGAGCAGAGGGCUCUGGGGAGCUCACUGUAUAAGGAGCCAAGAAGUUAGAACUUGUACAGUGGCCACAUGCUGGAAAGAACAGCACAGGAGAGCACCUCAAAAAGCCAACAACAAAGGCAAGAGUCAAGACAACUGUCUACAAAUACUUUCUGUAUUUACAGUUUAUAAUCUUAGACUUCAUCGGCCACAGAGGGAACCUGACCAUGUUUUCAAGAUAAAACAAUCAUGUGGGAAAGGGUAAAUAUAAGAGAAAAAUGCUUCCUUUAGGGAGGGACUGGCCUCCCAGAGCUGCCCUCUAUCCUUUUCAGACUUCUGAACAGUACCUCACUGCAGAGCUUCCACACCAGCAGUAGCUGCAGCCCAUCUCGGAGGACUCAGUCUUGUCCCCCACUGGGCCCCAAGCCUAGCUCAGCAGUUUCUUUUCCAAGCACGUCUCUGGCCUUUCUUAUUUGCUGAUGGCAUUAGUAGAUCUCAGUUUGCUUAAAUGUACUUCUCUGAUUUCCUUUUUCCAGCAAACACCAGUAUUUCUAUUCCUGUUGCUGGCAUCUUGAUUCAGACAUCGUCUAGUUCCUGUCUGUCCUAGACUGUCUUUCCCGUGCCAAAUGCCAAUCACUUCUGUGUUCUGACUAUAUAUACUUCACUGAUCAAAACAUUUAUUCUCCAUUGUUCCCAGAACACAGUUCAAACCUUACUUAGUGCUUGAAAGCUUCAGUGUGACCUGUGACUUUACUCUCCAGUGCUAGGCUAAGGUACUCCCACACUGGGAAACCGCAUGGGGGUUGAUCAGAUCUGGUGGGCCACUGAGGCAGGAGGCAGAAGGCCAUGACACUCAGGACAACUCAGGUGAUCACAUGCAUGGAAGAUGCUUGGCCUAAAUCUGUUGUUCAAUGGGACUGAUUUGUUUUUGUUUUUUAAUGAAAACAAUCUUAUUUGGACAAAUUCAAAUAUUUGAAAUUAAAGGUUUGAGAGAUGGUUCAGCAGUUAAGAAUACUGUCUGGUCUUGAGUUCAAUUACUAGCAACCACAUGGUGGCUCACAACCAUCUGUAAUGGGAUUUGAUGCCCUCUUCUGGCAUGCAGGUGUACACAAAGAUAGAGCACUCACAUACAUAAAAUAAUCUUUAAAAAGAAGUUGAAAUUCACAUUAGAUUUCCAUUGUCCUUUACAUUAAAGCCCAAUGUCAAGCUGACCUCAGAUCUGUCCAGUUAAAUCCACCAGGCUUUGGGGCUGGAAAGAUGGAUUAUCUAUCUAAUUAAUAUAUAUAUAUAUAUUCCCCUCUCCCCAGCCAGGCUUGUAGCUAACUGUAACAUCUCAAAAGUAAAAAAAGGAAUGUCUAAACAAGGUGCACUCUUCACAGGCCCAGGUUUUGUUUGGAAAGAUCUUUUGGUAAAAUCAGAAUGUUUUGUUUAACCUUUCUGACCAGUAAUUUCUAAAAUCUUUCAAAUGAAAAUUUAGUUUUAGAAAUCAAAGAUUUCCCAUACAAGAGCUAGUUUAAAAGUUUUAAAUCCCAUUUGUGUGUGUGGUAUGUGCUCAUGUAGAGGUCAUAGGACAACGUUCUGAAGCCACUAUGCAGUUCCUGAGCAUUAAACUCAGAAGCAGGCUUUUGGUGCUAAGUACCUUUACCCACUGGUACUAGAUCUGGGUGGCCCCAUGGUGACAUAAGGUCUGUGGAAUCUGCGGUGCUGGCCUCAGUGCCCAUCCUUAAUGCAGAGCAUGAAGGGUGCUCCGUACCUUCUGCAUACACCGUGAGAUGCAGGCAGUGACCAUAGUUGUGGAGGUGCCAGGGUGAAUCAUCAGUGAGUGCAACGUCAUUGCCACAUCCUGGACUGGGGAUCCGAGCAGAGGUCCUGGGUGGGGAGAAUAAAGCACAACAGUACACACAGUCCAGUAACAAGGAGCAAUGCAGCAAGAAUUCAUGUGAAGUCCAAGCACAGAGAACACUGGCGUGUCUGUAGCACACGGACCAACUCGGAGGCUGAGUGUAACAUCAAGGCAGAGUGCACAGUGCACGCUAGUACGCCCAAGAUCCUGGCUCAAACUCCAGCAUGAGAGAAAAAAAGAAACAGUCACCAGGAGACAGGUGUGUGUCCCUUACCCUGGAGGCAUGCACUGUGGACGGCACUUUCAAUGGCCUCCCGAGAGGCCUGCAGCAGGUCUUCACCCACACAGUCAGCAUACUCGAUCUUGGCCACAGCACAGGGCUCUUCUGCUGGCCGGACUUCCAGCUCCGCACUCACCAAGUGCCGCUUGUCUCCAAGCACCCUAUCGAGGGUGUCUGCGGACAAACACAUGGAAAUGCGUGAAGAAUAAGGAGGGCCUGCACUCGAGGCUCAACGUUUGCCAGGAUAAUGAAGGAAGCCAAAGAAAGAUGCCAGGAACAGGCUGCCCCAGGAGACUGUCUGCCCUUGCUGAGAUUGCUUGUAUCUGAGACCCCUCAAAACUAAGUCUUUAAAAGUACCAACCUUGGGGAAAAGGUAACACUCAAAUUGUAUGACAUCUAGAGAGUAUAAAAAGCUGAUAAUAAAAACUAUAAACCUUGUUCCUCUGCCAAUUUCCAAAUUUAAAUUUCCUAUAUUCCUUCAGCAAUAUUUAAUGUUUCUCCCUCCCCCAAAACUAGUAAAGUAUUUUCUGAAAUACAGAAAAAC
rnacentral:lncRNA from 1 species